rnacentral:rRNA from 2 species
CAGCCGCCGCGGUAAUACCAGCACCCCGAGUUGUCGGGACGAUUAUCGGGCCUAAAGCAUCCGUAGCCUGUUCUGCAAGUCCUCCGUUAAAUCCACCUGCUCAACGGAUGGGCUGCGGAGGAUACCGCAGAGCUAGGAGGCGGGAGAGGCAAACGGUACUCAGUGGGUAGGGGUAAAAUCCAUUGAUCUACUGAAGACCACCAGUGGCGAAGGCGGUUUGCCAGAACGCGCUCGACGGUGAGGGAUGAAAGCUGGGGGAGCAAACCGGAUUAGAUACCCGGGUAGUCCCAGCUGUAAACGAUGCAGACUCGGUGAUGCAUUGGCUUGUGGCCAAUGCAGUGCCGCAGGGAAGCCGUUAAGUCUGCCGCCUGGGAAGUACGUACGCAAGUAUGAAACUUAAAGGAAUUGGCGGGGGAGCAC